AUUUUUUAGCUUAUCUUUUUUUUGUGUGUGGAAAAGAAACCAGACGUCUGGCCUUCUUCUUGGGAUAUCAGUAUAUUUUGUCACUUUUUUUGGAUGAGUGGUGGUGGGAGAAGCUGUUCAUACCCUAGGUCUCAAAGCCACUUGUCCUCAAAGGGAAAAAAAAUUUUCUCAGGUCUGGUUACAAAUCUAUACUCAUUUUUUUUCCAGAAAUGCCUAAGUAUUUUACACAGAGCCUGUACCAUGUACAUAUGUUUCAAUUUCUCUGCAGCCUUAUCAACACUUGUUUCCUUAAAUUGUACUGAUGAUAGGUGCUGUACUAGGAGUGAAGGAAAAUCUGUGUUUGUAGUUUAUAUUUCCUUAAUGGCUGAUAAGUAGAGGGAGUAAUUUUGAUACAGGGAUGAAAUCAGGACCUCCAAAUAGGAUAUAAGGGAAAUAUUAUAAUUCUUAACCUGUUAGAUAUCUGAUACGCUGAAUUCGUGUUUUCUAAAACUGAAGAAUGAAUUCUGGGAACAACAGAGGUUAAGAGUAGUGUUCCAGAAAUUGUGGAAAGAAAUACACGGAGACAUAGAAUUCAGGUAAAACAAUGAAAGUUUACUUGCAAGUAGGCAGGACCCCCAGAAAGUGGUCUGGUCAGUGUUCACACCGCUCUUUGUACAUUUUCUCCUUUUUAUAUCCUUUUUAGCCCUUAUCUCAAUCCUGGUUGUCUUUAGUGAGUAAAUAAAAUUCCAGUUCCUAUUUACAAGUAGUUCCUGUUAAUGAUUGUAGCCACAGACACAUGAUAAACACAUGACAGUUAAAGCACAUACAUUGUAAAUUUACCCAGGAAUUGCAACUUUGUUUUUCUAGAUUAAAAUGUUAUCUAUAGUAAAGCUGCAGAUCAAAGAGCCAUAUAACCUUCACUUUAAACAAGAGCAAUGAGGAAAAGCAAGACUUAAAGGGAUACAUUACCCAUUUUGCUUCUACAACUACUUUAAUGUUUAAAUUCCUAUGUUGUCUAAAAUUUUUUCCCUAUCAGUAGGAAAGGUUGGGCUGGGGAUGUAGCUUAGUUGCACUGCACCUGCCUGGCAAGUUCUGAGUUUGAUCCCCCAGUACUGGAAAAAAAACUUACUAAAGAGUAGGAAAGGUUUAUUGGGAGGAUAGCUCCUGAGAGGCAGGAGGGGUCCUGAAUGGGUAGGCAAGGAUCCCACUUUACAGGGAAGUUUUAUAGAGCAAAAAACCACAUGAGUACAACAUAGGUUAAAGCUAUAGUUAGCCAAUAAGGUUACAAGUAUAGUUGCUUAGGUAAUAGUGAUCCAAGGGGGGAACAAGUCACACAAGUGUCUGUGGAAAGAAUAAGGAACUCUGGUAGGUGAUGGAUCUGGAGGUCUUGGUUGACCAUUGAGGUGACUGAUGCCUAUCCAGAGUUUAUUAGACCAAGUGUUAUCACUUACCUCAUGCCUUGAGGAAGUAUGUAGACCUGGUCCUUUUGUUAUUAUCUUAAGGCCUGGCCUCCAACUGAUGUAUCUCCAAUCACAGUUGUAGUAUGUUUUCACCUUAUGCCUUGACUCUCCUGAGGGCCCACCCCUAUCUGACUUCCUAUAAUAUUUCUGCCUAACAUAGUUGUCUAUAAAAAUUUCAUGUUCCAGCAUUCUAUCUCAGUUGUUGGUUCUCAGUGCCAACAUUCAGUGAGAUUAUAACUGGUACUGCAAAAGGCAACUUAAAUUAGAUUUCUCCCCCCAAAUUUCUUCAGCCUAGAGCAUAAACAUCAGCCCUGAUGAAUGGAUGGAAUAUGCAGAUCUUGGCAUCUGGAUGUCAAACCCCAUUUCAUUCCCCUAGGCAUGGGAGGUCCUGGGAAGGACAGAAGUCUGAACUUGUCUAUUGUUCCAUUGUAUUCCCUCCCUUUCUGUUCCUUGAUAGUAAAGACCCCAACACAUGGUAAGAGCAGUGAGAUGGUGAUUUGAGGAAAAUGCCCCCUCUCAUCUUUUUGGAGUUAGCUUUCAGUGAAUCUUUUUUAUUUUUACCAAAAUAAAUGGCCUCCUUUGAUUUGUUCAGUGUUGUGCAAAUGAACCUGAGCUUGUGAACCUAAGUGGCCAGUAACAAGAUGAUGGGCCACAGGAUCACAGACAUUAAGAUAAGAGAUGAGAUGUCACAUUCAGCAGGUGGGUUCUCUCAUGUCUCUCUGCAGUAGCUGGGUCUGCUUGCAGCACUCCUCAUCAUUACCCACACCGUGCAAACAAUAGUUUUUUGUCCUGAAUGGCUGCUAUGGGGCAACAAGUCCCAUUUUUUUCAGCUGUCUGCUGAGAGCUCUCUCAUUGCAAGUCAAGCUUUAGGAGAUUCUGUUGCAUGGAAGAAGGAUGGAGCACCAAAGGGUACAAGCGCGUGGACACCAUUUUGAAUUGUACUCCAACUGCAUCAUCUUCCCCUUGACCUGGACACGGAGCCUCUGAACCAAGGCCACACAGGAUCUCACUAUAGUUCAGGCUUGCCUUGAACUGUCUAUGAAGACCAGGCUAACCUUGAUCUCACAGUUAUCUUCCCACCUCAGCCUCCUAAGCGAAGUUUAUCUCUCUUUAUGGUGAGUAGUACUCCAUUUUGAAUAUAU
ensembl:lncRNA